rnacentral:rRNA from 1 species
GACGAACGCUGGCGGCGUGCUUAACACAUGCAAGUCGAACGGAAAGGCCCUGCUUUUGUGGGGUGCUCGAGUGGCGAACGGGUGAGUAACACGUGAGUAACCUGCCCUUGACUUUGGGAUAACUUCAGGAAACUGGGGCUAAUACCGGAUAGGAGCUCCUGCUGCCUGGUGGGGGUUGGAAAGUUUCGGCGGUUGGGGAUGGACUCGCGGCUUAUCAGCUUGUUGGUGGGGUAGUGGCUUACCAAGGCUUUGACGGGUAGCCGGCCUGAGAGGGUGACCGGCCACAUUGGGACUGAGAUACGGCCCAGACUCCUACGGGAGGAAGCAGUGGGGAAUAUUGCACAAUGGGCGGAAGAAUGAUGCAGCAACGACGCGUGCGGGAUGACGGCCUUCGGGUUGUAAACCGCUUUCGCCUGUGACGAAGAGUGAGUGACGGUAAUGGGUAAAGAAGCACCGGCUAACUACGUG